GGAUAUGCAAUAUCAUCUGAAUUGUCUUUGCUAUGCAAAAAUAUUAGGUAGUGACGGUGACUUGGUGUUUUCAUCAAUAAAAUACCUGAUACUGUUUUUGUACUCAGAGUCCAAUGUUGUGAACUCUAACAGAAUUACAUUUGCAUCUGAAUUGCUCAGAGAAAAGGCUAUAGCUCAUCUGCCUUGUAUGCAGAGGCACACCUCUGGGUGGGGACAAGAAAGACUCCCUGCUUGAGACCCUGGAGAGCUGCUGCCAGUCAGUGUAGGCAAUACUGAGUUAGGUGCACCAUUGAUCUGACUCAGUAUAGCACAGCUUCCUAUGACAUUUUCAGACCAUGAGCGCUGUGAUCUGAAUACAGUAUGUGCAGUUCAAACCUAAUGAUACACACAAUUUAGCAAGUACACUAUUAGCUGAUUCAGUUCAUAAUGUCAGCUUGGCACACAUGCACGCACACAUCAGUUGUAUCCAAGGGCUACUGUUAAAAAAAUGAGCUCCUCUGAAGGAAUGGAUAAUGACGAUGAUUUAAAAAUUAACAUUUUUUAAAUCACUGAGGUUAAUAAAUUGGCAGGUUAUUCCCAAAGGAGAAAUGGAAUAUGUUUGCAAAUUUUAUUCCCUGGGAAGCAGACAGUGCUCCUUGCUGACUGGAAUAUGCAUCCUGAUUUCAUAGCUUUGGGUGGAGAAAUUUCUCUGUAAGUUUUUCCCCCCUUUAGAAAGAGUGUUCCUUUCUCUGAACAAACUCUGUGCACCUGGAAUUGUCUUAUCACCUGGCAUUGCACAAUGCUCAAAGAUGUUUUGUUUGUUUUUUCACUGGGCUUCUUUCUGGCUAGCCUCUACAAUUUCCACUGUAGACUGUCAUGCAAUUUGUUUGUCACCUUCAGACAAAUGAGGAUGACAUUUCUGUUGCAGGGUGGUAAAAGGUUGGAGCUUGCAUAAGCUUGAUAAAUGUGAAACCAAGGUGACUCUACUUGUAAGCGUUAUGUCUUACCAUGAAACUGCAAAUCCUUCAGGCAUGCUUAUGUGUCUAGGUUCGCUACAUAAUCAACUCCUGCUUUGCAUUCUGACACCAGGAAAAUGUGUGUACUACGAAGAAAUGCACAGAAACUGAAAAGAGACAUUAAUGUGUAGCAGCCCUGUUGGGUUCCUGUCAGACUUGACCAUCUACUGGAAGGCAAAAUAACUAUUUGUAUUUUCUUUUAAAAUCUCCAUGCAUUUCCUAACUACUUAGAUCCACCUCAUCCCUGUUAUUAAUAAUGGAGAUCAUUAUUGGGUCAGUCUCUUUUUAUGCUCACAGCUGUUAACAGGCCUUGCAGCUUGGCUGAAUUAAAUUUGAAUAAUAACUUACAGUUUUUGGAGUUCAAAGGAUUUAUUCACGCAGGAACUAUUUACAGGGUGAGUAGUGACAUGAGAGAAAUAGCAAACAUCUUGUCUGGAGAGAACAGCAAACAAAAUGGCUCAGCUUUUAGGGGUAGAGUUAACUUAGACAAAGAGACAUAUGAACAAGUGCUGGCUAGAUUGCUAUACAAACAAUGCUCUCGUGUGGUUUAAAGGAACACAUGCAUUAACUAGAAGCUCAAGAGUAGGAAAUGCAUUUGCUUAAUCCAACAAUAAACAUAAUAAAUUUAAAGCAGAGUUCCUUUUCCUAUUGCUUACCUGUAAUCUGUGUCCUAAUGCAUUGUCAGUGGGAGAAAUUGCCUUACAUGGCACCUGGAUAAAUAUUACUUAAACUUCCAAAUUACUAGAAGUGGGGUGCUUGCAGCACCAUUAACAGGAGUCCAGCCCUGGUUUCUUCUUUAGCUUCUUCAUGUAGAUUGAAUUAUUAAUCCACUCUAGAAAAUGCUGUCCAUUAACACACAUACAGUUGCACUUUCCUAUUUGAUAAUUUUUAUGAUUAGUUAUAUAUGAGCAAGAAGAUCAGAGGCUUGAGGCUGCAGAAAAGAUUCAUCUCAAUGGCUUUUGCACAAUGAAAUGAAACAUUCCUUUAAGGAGCUGCCCCUCCCAUUUGAGCAAAAUGCAAAUUUGUGGAGGGAAAUAAAAGUGGGAGUCAUUUUGUUUUGUUUCUUAUCGGAUUCUUGUUUGCUAGAUUUCAAACAACUCCAUUUCAAAAAUGCUUCUAAUUGCAAAUCCACACACAUUUAGCAAAUAACUCUGUUCAAUACAACUUUUGAAGUUAAUUUGGCUUCCCAUUCCCCCCACCUCCACUUUGGAGUUUCCUUUUAAUGCUGCACAUAAAAUCUACCACAAGAUGAAUACAGGCUCUUUUCAUCAGCCCAGCUACAAAGAGGCUAAACUCUUUAAUUGCUCUAGAUUGGGUCCUAUUUUCUCGAAUGCAAGUAGAAACCCCAUUAAAAUCUAACCAGUUACUCCCAAUUUGCACUGAUGCUAAUGAAAGCAGAACUGAGCCUCUGGGGUCCAAUUCUGCUCAGUUAACUCUACUGAGUUAAGAGGAACUCCCUUGGAAAUGUAUGAGAUUAUGUGAGUUAAACUUGUGGAGGGAUUGAUGAAUAAGAACCCUGGCGAGGUUGGAUGUGAUCAUUUUCUGAACCCUUCAAAGGCCCUGUGUUUCUGUGAUUUUCUGAAGUACUGAUACCCACUCCUGGUUUCUCAAUCCCCUUCCUCAAAAAUAAGGCAGGAAAAGAGAAAGAGGGAGGGACAAUGAGAACACUUUUGUUGCCCAGUCCAGUGCAUAAUGGAUUCAGAUUACAUAGGGAUGAGAAUAGGAAAGGGUGGCUGUGGCACAGUGACAGAGCAUCUGUUUUGCAUGUAAAAAGUUCCAGGUUCAAUGCCUGCCAUGUCCAGGUCAGGCUGCCUGUCUGAAAGCAAUGGAAGUUACUGCCAGUUGCUCUAGAUGCUGCUGAGCUAGAUGGAUCAGUGGACUUCCUAUUUGAGGAAGGGUCAUAGCUAAAUGGCAGAGCACAAGCUCUGCAUUCACAGGGUCAGUCCCUGACAUCAUGCCCCAUGCCUGAAACCCUGGAGAGCUUCUGCCAGUGAGUAUAGAUUAAGGACUGGAAUUGUUUUUGGCUCCACAGGCCAGCUCCUUCUCAGAAUCAGCCUUGCAGGCUAAAUGUGACAGGUAGGUGGGGUGACGGUCCACCUGUCAAUCACAUGAUGCCAUCAUGACAUCACAUGACUCGCAAAUGGGUGGUGCCACCCAUCUGCCAAAAUUCCCUCAGAAGCUUUGCAAAGUGCCCUCUGAAGCACCCUCUUCCUUCCCUUGGAGGGAGCUUAUUUCAAGCAGGCCUUUGCUCUGCUUCUCAUUUAAGUGAGCAGACAGCAGCAAUGGCACUGCUUCCCACUUGCUUAAUGAUGAAGCACACCUGAGCCCAGAGCGCAGCAGGAUCCCUGCUCCACCCAAUAUCGGCAGAUGAUAUUCCUACAUUGCAGGGGGGUAAACUAGAUGAUGUUCAGGGUCCCUUCCAACUCUACAGAUCUAUCAUUUUGUGAGAGCAAUCCUGCCAAGAUUGGGGAAAAUCAGAGAUCUUCCUGCAGGGAGCUUUCUAGCACUCCCAAACUCAGCCAAUAGGAGGGCAAAAUACUGCUUAGUAUUGGACAUGAGUGCACAGAGCUCUCCUGCACACCUGAGCCCAGUGCUAAGGAAGAUCAUUCUUCUUUUGCCUUGGAUGAUGUGCUGGGAGAGACAUCCUGAUUAACGCUGAUGCCCCAUUUUGUGCAGCUGGUUGUUGGGUGCUUAGGGAGUUGCGCAAAGUGGGCUUUGGGCAAGCCCUACACUUUCAACGAAGACCUGCCCUUAUCCCCAUGACAUCUGUUGUAUGGUGGGUGGGCAUGGCUUGCCCAAAAUGUCCUUGCAGCCAAAUGGCGAAGCCUGGGAGGUCAAGAUUAGCACAUAGGUCAGAGGUUCUCAACCAUUGGUGGAAAUGAUACUGAGCCAGAGGGCAGGUGGUCUGAUUCGGUAAAGAUAAGGGACCCCUGGACUCCAGUCAAAGGUGACUAUGGGGUGUGGCACUCAUCUUGCUCUUCAAGCCAAGGGAGCCAGUGUUUGUCCACAAACAGCUUUCUGGGUCAUGUGGCCAGCAUUACUAAAUUGCUACUGGUGCAUGGAGGACCAUGAUGAGUGCCAGAGCACACGGAAAUGCUGUUGACCUUCCUGCUUCAGCUUUAUCACAGGAUUGUUGCACAAGGGACCAGGGGCAUAGGAAACGGGGACAGGGGGCGGUACGCCCCAGGUGCCAUCAUGGAGGGGGGUGACAAAUUAUCAAGGAACAAUUACUGCCCUACUAGGGUGGUUCAUAAUUUUUUUUUUAAAAAAAAAUGCCUGCUCCAAAGGUCUUAUCUUACUACACUAGGGAUUAUAUAGCUACAUAUGAAAUUUCAUGCAUAUCACUUAAUAUCUUGACCCUCCUCCACGACAAUAGCUAUUUACUUGGCUGUUUUCCUAUAUCAUGAAGGCUGAAAUUUCAACAAAGCAGGUGCCUUUGCUAGACUCUUUUCGGGCACCUGCUAAAAGCAUUCUUCUUUAGGCAAGCAUACCUAGAUGCUUAAGAAGUUAAAGUAAUUUUAAUCUUAAUAUUUUGGCUUUUGUAUGUUUUACAGUAGGAUUGUUAAUUUUUCUUGGUUUUACUGCUGUGGUGUUUUUAUGUUUUUUGUUUUGGUAAACCACUUUGCAGGUUUUUUAAAAUUAAUUUUAUUAAAUAAACAAACAAUAAAUAUAAAUAAAAUAACACAAGCCAAAACACAAUCCAUCCUGUAGAUUUAAGUAUCUGUCCAUAGUCGUCUACUUGUUAUCAGAGGCCCAGAAUCUGCAUUCCUUUGUAAGAAAAUAUGAAAUAACGUAAAACCAUUUUUGCAGAC